rnacentral:rRNA from 1 species
GUGGGGAAUAUUGGACAAUGGGCGAAAGCCUGAUCCAGCAAUACCGCGUGUGUGAAGAAGGCCUUAGGGUUGUAAAGCACUUUCAAUUGGGAGGAAAAAAUAGGCGUUAAUACCGUCUAUCUUGACAUUACCUUUAGAAGAAGCACCGGCUAACUCCGUGCCAGCAGCCGCGGUAAUACGGAGGGUGCGAGCGUUAAUCGGAAUUACUGGGCGUAAAGAGUGCGUAGGCGGCUCGUUAAGUCAGAUGUGAAAGCCCUGGGCUCAACCUGGGAACUGCAUUUGAAACUGGCGAGCUAGAGUUGAGUAGAGGUAAGUGGAAUUUCAGGUGUAGCGGUGAAAUGCGUAGAUAUCUGAAGGAACACCAGUGGCGAAGGCGACUUACUGGACUCAAACUGACGCUGAGGUACGAAAGCGUGGGUAGCAAACAGGAUUAGAUACCCCAGUAGUCC